GACAGAGGUGCCGAGCGUUAGGCGGAAUCACUGGGCUUAAAGCGUGUGUAGGCGGACUUCUAAGUACCUUGUGAAAUCCCACGGCUCAACCGUGGAACUGCUUGGUAUACUGGUUGUCUUGAGCCACUUAGGGGCAGUCGGAACAGACGGUGGAGCGGUGAAAUGCGUAGAUAUCGGAAGGAACGCCGGUGGCGAAAGCGGUCCGCUGGGUCCCCACUGACGCUGAGGCGCGAAAGCCAGGGGAGCAAACGGG
rnacentral:rRNA from 1 species